GCCCGACUAGCUCAUCGGUAGAGCGCCUCACUAGUAUCUUUCGCAAGCUACACUGCAAUGAGGAGGCAACAGGUUCGAUUCCUGUGUUGGGCA